AGGAUGAACGCUGGCGGCGUGCUUAACACAUCGCAAGUCGAACGAUGAAGGCUGGAGCUUGCUCUGGCUGGAUUAGUGGCGAACGGGUGAGUAACACGUUGAGUAACCUGCCCCAGACUCUGGGAUAAGCGCUGGAAACGGCGUCUAAUACCGGAUACGAGCUUCCACCGCAUGGUGAGGAGCUGGAAAGAAUUUCGGUCUGGGAUGGACUCGCGGCCUAUCAGCUUGUUGGUGAGGUAAUGGCUCACCAAGGCGACGACGGGUAGCCGGCCUGAGAGGGUGACCGGCCACACUGGGACUGAGACACGGCCCAGACUCCUACGGGAGCAGCAGUGGGGAAUAUUGCACAAUGGGCGAAAGCCUGAUGCAGCGACGCCGCGUGAGGAUGACGGCCUUCGGUUGUAAACCUCUUUCAGCAGGACGAAGCGACAAGUGACGGUACCUGCAGAAGAAGCGACCGGCUAACUACGUGCCAGCAGACCG
rnacentral:rRNA from 1 species